CCUUACAAGCUCGGGGUGUGUGGUUCUGGGCAUUGAGCUGGGGCUGGGGUGGGGGUUGCUCCUGGACGCUGGUGUGCGUGGGCAGUGUGCCGUUUGCGAGCUGGGUGGGGGGGAAAGCUUCCUAUGAACUGCUGUGCGGGGGGGGGGGGGGGGGGGGCCGCAUCUAGCAGGCACCCGUGGGCAAGUAUCUGCGAGUGUGCACACUGUGCUAGGUGUGCGUGUGUGUGUGCGUGUGUGUGCGCGCGCGCCUGUGUGCCUGUGUGACAAGCAGGCCUCCCUCUGGGCCUGGUGGCUGUCCCCUGAACCCUGCGAACAAAUCUCUAACAACAAUCAUAAUAACAAUAAAUAAUAAAUAACAAUAAAACGGUAUUUAACAGUCCCUCCCUAGCAGGAUAACAAUAAAAUGCAAGAGGAGAUAUUUUGAGGAGAAGCCCGGGAAGGAGUCAGGAUCACAGCAUCCGAGGGGAAGACAAGGGAAGAAGGAAGGAAGUUAGCUUCUUCCUAUGCCCUUGGAGGGCUGGAUUUAGGAACCCCCUCUCCAGACAAGGUCCUCCGGCCGGUGGAGGAGAGGAAGAGCCCCGGAGGCCGCUCUUUCCUGCUUCUUUUUCUCUGGCUUUUGCUUUGUGCGAUCCGGGGAGGGAUCCCACAUAUGGGGGUGAAUUGUGGCUUUGGGGAGCCUCUGGAGUCCCUGUUUUAAAGAGGAGGGCAAGCAAAGAGGGUCAUGGGGAGAGGGAGGCGGAGGGGGGGGGCAGAUGAGGCAAUGACCAGAGCCGGGGUCCUGGACACUCGGGCAACAGAAGUGCCCGGGGAGGACGUGCCGCCGGGUAUGGACGGAAGCAGAAGAACAUUUAUGGCCGCCCGAGAGAGGGGAGAGCAUGGCCGGUUUUCUGGUAGGCCCAGGGAAAGUUCCCUUUCUAGGGGCUUUUCAAACACACAAACACAAACAACAACAACAACAAAAAGAAAAGAAGAAGGAGGAGGAGGAGGAAGGGUUUGAGGCGCACUGAAUUUUCCUUCGCGGGCUUGGAGCGAGCGGAUUGCCAUAAAGGAAGCGAAGACCAGGAUCCCAGAUCCUUCCACGUCCACCUCAUUUUCUCCAGCCGGUGACCCAUCUGGUCUGAAAGGGACGGAGACCUACACUUUACACUGAGUCACUUCUUUAAGACCAGAGCACACACAAAGAUUCAAAAGGGAACCCCGGGCGGCCUUGCAUUUGAACACUACACGAGGAGGGGGAACACUGUGAUACUAAUAAAAUAAAACACACCCGGGUCGGAGCACUGAGCGCAGGGCCUCUCCACUUGCCGGAUCUCACCAGGAGACUGACACAAUAGGGGCUCCUGGACUGCCCCCCAACCACUCCUGGAUGGUUUCCCAAAGCCUAGCCACCUCCAGCCCUCCUUGUGUGUUGGGGUGGGGAAUAGCCAUACCCAGACACCUCUGCACCCUGUCAUAUGUAAAGCGUGCUCACUUGAAGAAUAUCUUGAAGAAGAAGAAGGAGAAGAAGGAGGAGGAGGAGGAGGAGGCAGGCCGGCUUAGAGCUGUGCUGACUUCUAGUUCUACUGAUCCGUUCUCAUCUGGAGACUUUAUUUAUAACCCCCACUAUAACUCUCUCUGUUUGGAGGCACUGGUGGUUCUAUUGACAGACUGAUGUCUAGAAAAUAUUGCUCUAUCUCUAACCAUCCCUAAAUGUGCUGUGCUUGUAUUUACAGAUUUAUGCUGGAGGGAAAUAUAAUUAUUUCCAUUGUAUUUGUGCAUAUACAAUAGUUACAGAAGCAGAUUUAUAUAUGAGGAGAUAUACGACUCUCUUAUAGCCAUCCAGUUUUAUGGACAUUUGAUAUCCUGACAGAUUUAUAUCUCUGAGAAGCUAUAUAGAUAAAUGUAUAUGGUUGGAAUUAUGGAUCAGGAGAUAUAUACUUAUUGAUUGUGAUAUAGAGUAGUUAGAACAUUCACUCAGAGCCAUAUAUGGCUAUGGACAUAGUUCUAUAUUAUUAUCACUAUAUAUAGGCAUAUCUAUUUAUAACUACAUAGUUAUAAAAAUAGACAUAAGUAAUUACAGUCCUAUAUGUACAUGCUGCUAUCUCUCUGUAGAGUUAUAGACACUUGGCGAAUAUAACUCCGAGGAGGUAUCUGUAUGUAUAUAAGGGUGUAAUUACCUCGUGAUGUGUGUGUAUUGGGGCUUAGACCAGUCUAUCUCUGUACAGACAUAUUUAUACGUAGGGGCUGAGAAAGACUUGUUCACGGAAAUAUUGCCGGAGAAGCAAUGGAAAAGCAGGAUCUGGCCAUCUAGGAAAUCAGCUAGCAGAGUUCUUUACUUGCAGAGGGAUGGAGUUGACUGAAGGGUAAACAGAACAUAGGCAGCCUCAAGGAGAAGAGGUGCAGGGAAGGUGAUUGGGGCGUGGCUGGAACAGACAGGCGGGAAAGGGGUAGACACAGGGCAGCCACCUAAAGAUGGGGGACUGGUUUUGUGAGGAGCAGGUGCAGAUGGUCACUGGGUCUUACGGACGGGGAGGCAGUGAACAGUACUAUGACCUAGAGAUCCAUUCCAGCUCUCUGCUGAGGGAGCAGACCCUCAGGUGGGCGUUGGGGCACUAAAGGGCAGCUGCCACCUAGCCCCUCCGGCAUUCUGGGCACAUUGCUCUUGAAUCCUAGUUUCGGGGUCUCAAAGAGUAGGUUUCAGAGGCGAGGAGGGGGGUGUACUUUCACUGCCGCUGCCUCUGGGAAUAGGGCCAGGAAAGCCAGGUAGUGUAGUGUGGCGAAAUAAAGCUUGCUUUCACCUGGACCUCCUGUGCUCCUAGGGGGCUGUGUGGGGCCUGUGUGGCAGGAGCCUGGUGGAUUGAGGGAUAAAUUUUCAAGGGUUGGGCUUCUUCUGAUGGGAGCUUCAGGAAGCCUUCCUCACCCUGCUUCUCUGAGGCCCAGGCCCCAGGAGCCUAGUUCUGUUCCACUGGACUGCUCCUCCUCUGUUGCUCCCUAACUUGGGGCUCCCUCUGCUCUGGGUACAGAAGGCUAUACCCUCCAACUCUCUAACAGCACUGCCCUGGGCCUUUAUGGGAGAAUUUGACUUCAGUAAGUGGGGAACGUGGAUCGACACUUCUAGAGCUCAUUCCCCGUCCCCCCCAGCUCACAGCUACCCGCUCUCUCGCCAGCCUCCUUCCAGGCACCACAGGCUCCACGCUCUGCAAUUCCUCCCUUGCCACCAGCCAUCCUAGGAGAAAAGACAUUUUUCUCUUGGUCCCAGUUCUUUUUUUUUUUUUUUUAAACCAGGGAGUCACAAACCUCUCUGCUCAACGGUUUGGUUUGUGGAGGUUUCCCUGCACUCCGCAUCAGUGGCCGGCCACUAGAUCUCUAGGAUGCUGGGAAGGGAAUGAAGAGCCCUGGCCUGGGGUUAAAUGCCAAGUGCCACCUUCUACACAGCUCUGCCCUUGGGAUCAGGGCUUCUCCAGAACAGGGAUUCUGCUGCCUGGCCCAGAGGGGUAGCCUGGUACCUGAGGUCAAUUGAAUGGUGAUCAGAGCAGCUGCCUUUGGCUGAGGCCGUCUCCCUUCUGUGGGCCACUGCUGCGGGCUAACCGGCACCUGGGUGCCCUGGCAGGAGCCAGGGCCGGAGCCCAUGGACAGGGGUUAGUGCCCAGCGGAGAGCAGCCAGAGCUGAAAUGGGGGAGUGAGAGGUGGAAUGAGCACCAGAGCCAGGCUCUACCUCCCCGGAGCACUCAGACCCCCACCCCAGCCUCCUGGCUCCCCAACCCCCAAGUGUUUGAAAACUAAACCGGAGCUGGGCCCUGGGCUGGGAAAGUGUUGCCUGUCAGCCUGAGGGGCCCAAAGAGGAACCAUCACUUGGUCCAUUAAGAAAUACAUAAAUAAAACAAAAAUGAAUCAGCAUUAGACAGCCACCCUGGCAGAAGGAAAGGCCUUGUGCCUCAGCGAGGCUCCAGGGAUAUUACAGAAGGCAUCAGAAUGACUGAGGGUUUUAAGAAAUUUUUUUAACUGGAAAAAGUUACCAAAUUUUCUGAUUCAGUAAUAUCUCCUAAUUGGGUUAUUUCAUAUAGUUCUUUUUAAAACUGUCAACAUUCCCUGAAUCUUUGGUCCCUGUGGAACAGGUCCCAGAGUUUGGGGAUGGGUGGGUCACAGGCAAUGAGCUGGGUGAGAUGGGCACUUUCUCUAUCCAGUGAGGGUCUUGGUCUUCCCUCUCCCACCAGGCUUGGAGCAGGGAAGACUCUCCCAGAUUUGAUUCCUUUUUUCCAUAAGAGUCUUUAGGGGCAAUCUGCCCAUGGAGCCUCAUUUCUAGUCCCCCAAACUCUGACAGUUUCCUCCUGAGACACGCCCUCUUCCCUCCCCAGAAUACCUAAUGCCCAGGGAGAUGGUGGGUACUUUCCCUAAAGAAAUGCUGAGAGGGAGAGGGGUGUGUGUGUGCAGCAUUUACAUAUGUUUGCCCCAAGCAGGACUCUGGGCAGAUGUCUGGGCUCUGGCCACAUGGGCGUAGGUUGUGGGCAGCUGCUGUAGACCUCAGACCCUACAGGUUCAGAUGAUGAUUAUCCUUGGCCAAAAGAUAGGAAAUGGAGAAACCCUGACCCUACCUCGUUGAUCCUAAGGGGUCCUGGGUCCCUUUGUCUGGGCUGUAAUGGCUCUUAGCUGUCUCUGGGUCCCAAACCACCUUUGAGAAGCAGAUAAAAACAACCUGCCCUCUCCCAGCAAAAUAUACAUACGCACAGUGUUGUUCAUGGGGACUGGGAUGAUGCAGAGCCCAGGAAGCCUGAGAACUCUGGGUUGAGGAUCCUCUAAUUUGGAUACUUCCCCCUUCUUUCUGUGACCCAUUUCCAGUUGUCUACCUUUGCUUUGGCCCUCCCUGAGUGCCUUUUCUUAGGAGUCAGGCAGUUCUCUGCCCUUCUUCUUUCCUUUACUAGAGCAGGCACCAGGCCCAGGCCUUGCUUGGGCCGAACUGCUUUCCUGCAGAAUCUAGGAGAGUGGCUGUUCACGGAAGCCUGGCCUACACUGCCCUGCUACUCCACCAGUCUCUGGGGGAGUGGUGGAAAAUGGGGGCAUAUUGGCAGCGAGCAGGCCUGGCUGUAGGGGGACCAAUUCCCAUCUCUAGUGGAAACUUGGAUGCAAGGAGCAAGUUGCAACUGUUAUGAUAAUAGUCAUAAUAAUAACAAUAAUAAUUUAUUUAGCAUAUCAUUAGAUGUGUAUUUACUGUCUUCCCUCUGCUUUUUUACAAGUGUCUCCUAAGGAAUUCUCACAACACCCGGGGGAAACAGUAAUAAGCUAAUUACCACCCUUCAGCUCCUCCUCCUCCCAACCACAAAGUCCCCCUCUCAGAGACGGAACAUUUACAGAGCCCCUCCCUGUGUUUACACCUGUUUAGCACAAUCUCCGCUUUCCCACUUCUCCUCUCCUGUCUGCAGUUUUUUUCCAUCCCUGUUAAGAAAGCUUCCCAUCAUUUGGGGGAGAAAAGGUUGGGGAGGACAGUAGCUGAGCCCCAGAGAGUUCCUUCCCUGACAUUAUAGCAAUGAUGAGGAUGAUGUGGGAGGAACCAAACUCUUGCUUCUCUGACUGCUCUUUUAGAGGCAGAAAUUACCAGCAUAGGGUUUAGAGGCAGACGGGUUAGAGAUGCCUCCAUAAUGCCAGAACAUCGAAGUCACGUGUAGGAGUAUGGUGGGUCCUGCAAAGGAAACAUCCAUACUGGGGGCUUUCAUGUUGUUCAGGCCAGACCUUAGAGAGGCCAGGCCUCGGAUAUCCCACUGCCCUCUUUCAGCACUGAGAAAAGAAUGGAAAAGAAGGAAGGAAGGAAGGUAGGAAGACAGGUGCUUGUGUAUAUAUAUCUCUCUAUAUAUAAAUUUACAGAUGCAUACAUAUUCACAAACAUAUUUUUUCCUGAGUGAAUAAUCAUGAUAAUGGCUAUACUUUUUAAAAUAUUCAUUUCUUUUCACUUUUAAAGAAGAAUCCAUAUCUUCUCAGAGAUUAUAAUGAAAACACAAGCCAGACACAUGUUUUUGGAUGACAGAUUCUAAGUGGUCUCUUGGACCACCUAAAAAGCCCCCUGGAGCCCCAGGUAUCUGCAGAGCACACUUGUCAUUGCUCAUUUCCUUUGCCCCAACCCAGGGCAGAGAACUACAGCCAAUGACAUGACAGGCUUAAUCACAGACAGAGCCGCUUGGCCUGUCAUUGAGAUCCAGGAUGUUGCUGCUCAGACUACCCAGGCACUGAGCUCAGCUCUCCACCUCUCUGCCCAAGUACACAGUCACUCCUGGGAAGAAGCAAGUCAAGGCUGGAGAACACGAGAGCCAGGUAGAGUCAAUAUAAAGAUAAGCUGGCUAUAAGGAGUCAAUAUAAAAUGUUAGCAUUGAAUCUGCUUCUUAGCUCUCCAAACCACAGUUGGCAUAUCUGACAUUUUUGGUGGGCCCAUAACCCAUUUGGUGUCUUUUCCUCUUUCUAUAAUCCUCAUGCUUUUCUGUUGCCCAUAUUCUCCACUGUCUGCCUCUGGCCCUUUCAUGUCCCCAGUCCUAGCAAAACUUACUUGUCUGGAGUCCCACUCUAAUCUCUACUGGGCAACAACCAGAUUGCCAGAUUAGGAAGCCACCAGGGUGUCUGCAUGAAUAUUCUCCUGGGAAAUUACGUUUUUUGGUGUAGGUCUUCAGGAGCCACUGCUCAGAUGGAGGGAAAUAGACAUAACGGUGGAAUUUCAGACCCGUGGCAGGCGGCAUGACAUAAAUUUGUGUGAGGGUAGUUUAUAAUCUUUCUUAAUCCUUUUCAUGGAGGCAGCCAUCCAGCCUGUCUGUGGAUAAAGCUAUCCUCGCCCCAAACCUAAGGUUUCCAGGCUGCUUAGAGGAGCCCAGAACAUUUUGUGUACCAUUUAUUAGCAGGUCUUGAGAGAUAAAAUAAAGUUGGAAAGAAACUAGACUCAUCCAGGUAAAAAGAACAUUAUGCAUGAGUUGUCAAGAUGUGGGCUUCUGAUUUGUUCUAAACAUGGCAGUCAUUCAUUCCAUGACUUAGUUCCAAUUUAUGGAGAGUGUCUUGAAGCCCCCUCAAUACUCAUAACUUCAGUCACUUCUGUUUCUAAAGAUGACUAUAUGCCAGGUGCUUUAUACUAAAUUUGAGGAGGAAAUGUAAUCUCAGAAAGGUUAAGUCACCUGCCCAAGGUCGCAAAGCCAGGUUCGAACCAGAUUUCCCCAUCUGCUGU